UAUAUGCAUAUUUGUUGAAGUUUGGUCUGUUGCUAUGUAUUAUAAUGCUAAAUCCUGUAUCUCAAGGUCUAGCUGCCUCAAGAGGAGUGAAUUCUCACGUAUGUCAAGUGACAUAUGUAUGUAUGUAACCUUGCCCCCAAAUUAUCCCUGAUUGGUCAACAGAUAUCUACAGCCUAUAGCUGGGCAGAAGCGAGGUAGGCGGGGCUUUGGUUCCUGGGUUUGGGGUCUGAGGCACAGACCACGAGGAGCGGAGAGAGGGCAGCGAAGCAUGAGCAAGGUACCAUGGGAUAGGUGGCUCGUGAGCACACGACCUUGAGGGCCAGCCUGUUGGAAUAGGAACAGCCCAGAUGGAACGUGGCAAAUGAUAUCUCGGGGCUACUGGCAGGGAAGCAAACAAAAUCUGCCCAGCCCUACUGUUUUAAGGGCUUAUUGUAAAUAUAAAGAUUCAUGUCUUUUGGGAACUAAAUGAUCUAUUACAACACAUACUCAAAUGUACAUAAUGCUUGCCCCUCCCCCUUCUUUAUGGGGAUUAAAUCCAGGGCCUCCACACACUAGGCAAGAACUCUUAUCAUAGAGCUAUGCCCGGGUCUUCCCAGAUUUUGUGAUCGAAGGACAGAGAGUCCAAGAACAUUUCAACCAAAUUUAGAUAUUGAAGGCAAGGUGGAGGGGAGGAUCCUGGAUGGAAGAACAACUGGUUCUCGUCAAAAAUGUUCCAGUCUAGGGGCUUCCUGUACAACCCGAGAAGGAAACCCAGCCUCCUAAACUGGAAAAGUCAAACAUCCUUUCAGGUUCCCGGGGCUGGGACAUGGUUCAUCAGUUAAGUGCCUGGCGCACAAGCGUGAUGGCCUUUUGAGUUUUACAUCUAGAACACCUGUUUAAAAGCCAGCCAUGGUGGCACACACCUGUAGUCUCUGGCUCACUGCCAGGCCAGAUUAGCUGAAUUGGAAAAUUCAAGGCCAGUGAGCGCCUG
rnacentral:lncRNA from 1 species